AGCCAGAGGAAGAUAUUUUUGGUUUAACCUGCCCAAUGUAUUAUUGUAUGAAUGGCCGCGGUACCCUGACCGUGCUAAGGUAGCGUAAUCAGUUGGCUUUUAAAUGGAGUCAGGUAUGAAUGGGACAACCGGGCUUAGCUGUCUCAAAGACAUUUAUUUGAAUUUACUGUUCAAGUGAAAAAGCUUGACGUAAGAAAAGGGACGAGAAGACCCUUAGAAUUUUGUUUAAAGAGGAUUAUCUCCUCUAUGAUUUUGUUGGGGCGACAGAGAAAUAAUUAAAACUUUCUUUAAAUUAAUCAGUCGGAAUUUUCAGGUUAGGAUAAAUUACCUGAGGGAUAACAGCAUAAUUUUAUAAAUAAGUUUGUGACCUCGAUGUUGGACUAGGAAGCUAAUGGGUUAGCUGCUCAUUGUGCGGAUUCUGUUCGAAUUUUAACUCCUA
rnacentral:rRNA from 1 species